rnacentral:rRNA from 1 species
UUAAGCGACUAAGCGUACACGGUGGAUGCCCUGGCAGUCAGAGGCGAUGAAGGACGUGCUAAUCUGCGAUAAGCGUCGGUAAGGUGAUAUGAACCGUUAUAACCGGCGAUUUCCGAAUGGGGAAACCCAGUGUGUUUCGACACACUAUCAUUAACUGAAUCCAUAGGUUAAUGAGGCGAACCGGGGGAACUGAAACAUCUAAGUACCCCGAGGAAAAGAAAUCAACCGAGAUUCCCCCAGUAGCGGCGAGCGAACGGGGAGCAGCCCAGAGCCUGAAUCAGUAUGUGUGUUAGUGGAAGCGUCUGGAAAGGCGCGCGAUACAGGGUGACAGCCCCGUACACAAAAAUGCACAUAUUGUGAGCUCGAUGAGUAGGGCGGGACACGUGGUAUCCUGUCUGAAUAUGGGGGGACCAUCCUCCAAGGCUAAAUACUCCUGACUGACCGAUAGUGAACCAGUACCGUGAGGGAAAGGCGAAAAGAACCCCGGCGAGGGGAGUGAAAAAGAACCUGAAACCGUGUACGUACAAGCAGUGGGAGCACGCUUAGGCGUGUGACUGCGUACCUUUUGUAUAAUGGGUCAGCGACUUAUAUUCUGUAGCAAGGUUAACCGAAUAGGGGAGCCGAAGGGAAACCGAGUCUUAACUGGGCGUUAAGUUGCAGGGUAUAGACCCGAAACCCGGUGAUCUAGCCAUGGGCAGGUUGAAGGUUGGGUAACACUAACUGGAGGACCGAACCGACUAAUGUUGAAAAAUUAGCGGAUGACUUGUGGCUGGGGGUGAAAGGCCAAUCAAACCGGGAGAUAGCUGGUUCUCCCCGAAAGCUAUUUAGGUAGCGCCUCGUGAAUUCAUCUCCGGGGGUAGAGCACUGUUUCGGCAAGGGGGUCAUCCCGACUUACCAACCCGAUGCAAACUGCGAAUACCGGAGAAUGUUAUCACGGGAGACACACGGCGGGUGCUAACGUCCGUCGUGAAGAGGGAAACAACCCAGACCGCCAGCUAAGGUCCCAAAGUCAUGGUUAAGUGGGAAACGAUGUGGGAAGGCCCAGACAGCCAGGAUGUUGGCUUAGAAGCAGCCAUCAUUUAAAGAAAGCGUAAUAGCUCACUGGUCGAGUCGGCCUGCGCGGAAGAUGUAACGGGGCUAAACCAUGCACCGAAGCUGCGGCAGCGACACUAUGUGUUGUUGGGUAGGGGAGCGUUCUGUAAGCCUGUGAAGGUGUGCUGUGAGGCAUGCUGGAGGUAUCAGAAGUGCGAAUGCUGACAUAAGUAACGAUAAAGCGGGUGAAAAGCCCGCUCGCCGGAAGACCAAGGGUUCCUGUCCAACGUUAAUCGGGGCAGGGUGAGUCGACCCCUAAGGCGAGGCCGAAAGGCGUAGUCGAUGGGAAACAGGUUAAUAUUCCUGUACUUGGUGUUACUGCGAAGGGGGGGACGGAGAAGGCUAUGUUGGCCGGGCGACGGUUGUCCCGGUUUAAGCGUGUAGGCUGGUUUUCCAGGCAAAUCCGGAAAAUCAAGGCUGAGGCGUGAUGACGAGGCACUACGGUGCUGAAGCAACAAAUGCCCUGCUUCCAGGAAAAGCCUCUAAGCAUCAGGUAACAUCAAAUCGUACCCCAAACCGACACAGGUGGUCAGGUAGAGAAUACCAAGGCGCUUGAGAGAACUCGGGUGAAGGAACUAGGCAAAAUGGUGCCGUAACUUCGGGAGAAGGCACGCUGAUAUGUAGGUGAAGUCCCUCGCGGAUGGAGCUGAAAUCAGUCGAAGAUACCAGCUGGCUGCAACUGUUUAUUAAAAACACAGCACUGUGCAAACACGAAAGUGGACGUAUACGGUGUGACGCCUGCCCGGUGCCGGAAGGUUAAUUGAUGGGGUUAGCCGCAAGGCGAAGCUCUUGAUCGAAGCCCCGGUAAACGGCGGCCGUAACUAUAACGGUCCUAAGGUAGCGAAAUUCCUUGUCGGGUAAGUUCCGACCUGCACGAAUGGCGUAAUGAUGGCCAGGCUGUCUCCACCCGAGACUCAGUGAAAUUGAACUCGCUGUGAAGAUGCAGUGUACCCGCGGCAAGACGGAAAGACCCCGUGAACCUUUACUAUAGCUUGACACUGAACAUUGAGCCUUGAUGUGUAGGAUAGGUGGGAGGCUUAGAAGUGUGGACGCCAGUCUGCAUGGAGCCGACCUUGAAAUACCACCCUUUAAUGUUUGAUGUUCUAACGUUGACCCGUAAUCCGGGUUGCGGACAGUGUCUGGUGGGUAGUUUGACUGGGGCGGUCUCCUCCUAAAGAGUAACGGAGGAGCACGAAGGUUGGCUAAUCCUGGUCGGACAUCAGGAGGUUAGUGCAAUGGCAUAAGCCAGCUUGACUGCGAGCGUGACGGCGCGAGCAGGUGCGAAAGCAGGUCAUAGUGAUCCGGUGGUUCUGAAUGGAAGGGCCAUCGCUCAACGGAUAAAAGGUACUCCGGGGAUAACAGGCUGAUACCGCCCAAGAGUUCAUAUCGACGGCGGUGUUUGGCACCUCGAUGUCGGCUCAUCACAUCCUGGGGCUGAAGUAGGUCCCAAGGGUAUGGCUGUUCGCCAUUUAAAGUGGUACGCGAGCUGGGUUUAGAACGUCGUGAGACAGUUCGGUCCCUAUCUGCCGUGGGCGCUGGAGAACUGAGGGGGGCUGCUCCUAGUACGAGAGGACCGGAGUGGACGCAUCACUGGUGUUCGGGUUGUCAUGCCAAUGGCACUGCCCGGUAGCUAAAUGCGGAAGAGAUAAGUGCUGAAAGCAUCUAAGCACGAAACUUGCCCCGAGAUGAGUUCUCCCUGACUCCUUGAGAGUCCUGAAGGAACGUUGAAGACGACGACGUUGAUAGGCCGGGUGUGUAAGCGCAGCGAUGCGUUGAGCUAACCGGUACUAAUGAACCGUGAGGCUUAACCU